GAACAAGGGUGCUUGAUUUUAGACACACUUCCCAAUGAAGGAGUUGGUUAUAUUAGCAGCGUCGAAAAUCCAAGAAUAAAGGAAGUUUAUAUGACUGAGGAAGAAGCUGAUAAAAUUGUUGGGUUAGCUGAUGUUGAAUUUGUG